CCCUAGUGGUUGGGGUAUUGAAAAAGUUUACCGUUAAAUCUCUCCCAUACCUCAUAUAGAGGUUCUCUAUUUAAUUAAUGAAAAUUUGUAAUUUUGUCAUUCAAAUG